CGAUGAAGCCCAGCUUGCUGGGUGGAUUAGUGGCGAACGGGUGAGUAACACGUGAGUAACCUGCCCUUGACUCUGGGAUAAGCGUUGGAAACGACGUCUAAUACCGGAUACGAGCUUCCACCGCAUGGUGAGUUGCUGGAAAGAAUUUUGGUCAAGGAUGGACUCGCGGCCUAUCAGCUUGUUGGUGAGGUAAUGGCUCACCAAGGCGACGACGGGUAGCCGGCCUGAGAGGGUGACCGGCCACACUGGGACUGAGACACGGCCCAGACUCCUACGGGAGGCAGCAGUGGGGAAUAUUGCACAAUGGGCGAAAGCCUGAUGCAGCAACGCCGCGUGAGGGACGACGGCCUUCGGGUUGUAAACCUCUUUUAGCAGGGAAGAAGCGAAAGUGACGGUACCUGCAGAAAAAGCACCGGCUAACUACGUGC
rnacentral:rRNA from 1 species